ensembl:lncRNA
CUGAUAUUUAGAUGUACACAAAGACACAAUAACAAUUAGAAGUACACACAGACACACUAACAAUUAGAUCUACACACAGACACACUAACAAUUAGAUGAACACACGGACACACUAACAAUUAGAUCUACACACAGACACACUAACAAUUAGAUAUGUACUCAGACACGUUAACAUUUGGUUCUAAACAAAGACACACACUAACAUUUAGAUGUACACAAAGACACAUUAAUAUUUAGAUGUACACACAGACACACUAACAAUUAGAUCCACACACAGACACACUAACAAUUAGAUGUACACACAGACACACUAACAUUUGGUUCUAAACAAAGACACACACUAAUAUUUAGAUGUACACAAAGACACAUUAAUAUUUAGAUGUACACACAGACACACUAACAUUUAUAUGUACACACAGACACACUAACAAUUAGAUGUACACACAGACACACUAACAAUUAGAUGUACACACAGACACACUAACAAUUAGAUGUACACACAGACACAUCCUGAUGAUCCUCCUCACGUCUCUUCUCCUUGUCUGCAGACCAACAGGACGCCAUCAGGACGCCACGUCAUCGGGAUGCCAUCAGGACGCCAUCAGGACACCACGUCAUCGGGACACUACGUCAUCGGGACACACUAACAAUUAGAUGUACACACAGACACACUAACAAUUAGAUGUACACACAGACACACUAACAUUUGGUUCUAAACAAAGACACACACUAACAUUUAGAUGUACACAAAGACACACACUAAUAUUUAGAUGUACACACAGACACACUAACAAUUAGAUGUACACACAGACACACUAACAUUUGGUUCUAAACAAAGACACACACUAACAUUUAGAUGUACACAAAGACACACACUAAUAUUUAGAUGUACACAAAGACAUUAAUAUUUAGAUGUACACACAGACACACUAACAUUUGGUACUAAACAAAGACACACACUAAUAUUUAGAUGUACACAAAGACAUAUUAAUAUUUAGAUGUACACACAGACACACUAACAACAUUAACAUGUUAAUAACUUCUUCUUUUCUCUCUUCUCAGGAACUGCUUCAGAUGUUUUCCCAAUGAUUGUUUUAUUAUUAUUGUUAAAUAUGUUGUUUAUUAUGG